CCUCUGCUCAGGUUGAGGCUGGGUGAAGCUGUGCUGGGAGUUACGUGAUGUCACGAAACUUAAUGAACUAAAGCUGCAGCCACAGCACAAGGUGACAUUCACUCUUCCACACAGAAUAGGUCUGGACAGAAACUCGGUGACGUAAGAUAGAUUGUCGAAAAUCUCUCGUUGACUCCAGUGAUGCAAAGAAGAGUUUGGUUGUAAAAGAAGAAGAAAAUAUCAGUCUUGUGCAUGAUGUCAACCAAAGAACAAAGAUACAGAAGACCUUCCUAACAAGAUAGCUUUUCACGUUGCUGGAUGUCAAUGGAUGUUCUGAUAGGAUCCUCCAUGGGCUGAAGCUAAUGAUGACAGAAGGUACACAGAGAACGGCCUGAAUCUGCCACCUCACGUGGGAGACAUCAAUAGCACAGCCAGGGCAAUGCUUCAUCUUCAGCUUUAUUAACUAACGCCUGACUGCCUACCGUGGGCUCAUUAAAAUACAGCAAUGACAAAGAAAUACUUACAAAGCAAUGAUGGUGCAGAAGAGCUUUUUUGCAACCGAGUGAUUACAACUUUCAUUAUCUUACUCCUUGCAUUAACAAUUUCUACAUUUUUACAUUUAAUCACUGUAUAAAGCGCUGAAACACUGAUUUCAACCUGUCAAUUCAUUUGACAGGUU